GGAGAAAGGCUCGGCUGGAGGCAUGUUGGACCUUUGCAUGUGAAGGAGUUUUUAAUGUUCUUUGUGAGAAAGUUACCCCCUUUUCCUGGUUUCUGGGUACUUUUAUCAUGAACAGAUGCUUUUUCUUCAACUAAAAUGAUUUUUGGGGGAUGAUAUUGAUUUUUUUUUUUUCUUGACCGUUGAACCAGUCUUGCAUACCUGAGGGAAAAAAAAUCCCACUUGCUCAUAUUAUAAAAUUCUCUUUAUACAUUGUUGUAUUCAAUUUGCUAAUAUAUUUGAGAAGUCUGUGUUUAAAUUCAUGAAAGAUAUUGGCCUGUAGUUUUCUAUUUUUGAAUUGUUUCUGUCUGACUUAGGCAUCAAGGUAAUACGGGACUCAUAAAAUGAGCUGAUCUGUAAUUAUGGUGGCAAGGGGAAACAAUUCCAACAACAAAACACAACUUAAUAUCCUGAGACGCAAGAGAUCGCAACCCCCUUCAUCUCCUAUUUGUCUGCUCUCCACAGUUGAAGAUACUGGAUAGGGGUUCAGUGAUUUUUGCAGGCAGGUAAGGCUGGCAUGUGGAGGUGGAGGUCUGGAAGAAAUGUCAUUACUACUUUCUGCUCAUCCAAGCUGCAGUUCUGGUGGCUCUCUGAGCUGAAGACUUCUAGACCAAGCAAUCUCCAAGGGUCAGGAAUUGAUCCUCCUCUGCCACCACCACGAGGAAACCUCAUCUGAGAAGCGGGUCCCAGGAAUCCAGUGGAUUUUUCUGGAUUGAGUUGCAGGCACAGCAGUUGUUGACCAACUGACAGCAGUGAGAACGCUCCAACAGGAGGAGGGGGUCGAAUGUAACUGCUCGGGAAGCAAUGGAGUCCCUGGGCCCAAGGUGGCCUCUGAUUGCUGCUGUCUGUUUCCCAGGCCUUCCUCUCACCCCGCUGCUGGGGCCCUCAGUCUGAUGGGGCCUAGCCUGAUGUGGCCGUUCAGCAGGUGUUGCCACGAGCUGGCAGCUCACAAUCUGAGCCAGUGACAGUGUGGUGAUCCAGGGACACUCAAGGGCCAGCUGAGGGCCAGUCGAGGGCUGUCGCUUAAAUUCCAGCCUGGCAGGUGGCCACCAGCGGCUGGAGGCUGCUACAGGACGCACGUGCUUCCCCACCUGUGGCCCGAGUUCAUGACCCCCACCCAGAGCCUGUCCAGGGCAAGGUCUGGCCUUAGUCUGUACCUGAAACUGCCCCAGCCCCAGCCCCCAGCCCUAAGCCCUGCAGCCUUUCUGCCUCUUGUGAACACACACGGGAUUAAUUAUCUCUUCAGCUGGAGCCAGAGAUUGCAAACUCAGUGUCUCUAACAGGCUAGGGGGUAGAGGUAACGUGAAAUAGAGAACUGGAAACAGAGGCCUGGGUGGGCUGGUGAGGACUUGUCUAGUCUCGAGCAGUCCUGCUACACCUCCGCCAACUGUCCCCCUGGGGAAAGGGGGACACAGAGAUAGGCUUCCAGCUUUUCAGGCAGAGCUGGAAGUUGCUUUGCAAAAUCAUUCAGUUAAAAAAAAAAGUUGACAGCUAAUCUAUAAAUGUGCAUGUGCUUGAUAAAGACAUAUGUUAGCUCCCUCUAGACUCUUUUGGAAGAAUUGUAGCAACCCGAAUAUAAUGAUAAAGGUCACUGGCCUCAGAAUUGAGGAGGCAGUAACGAGAGACGGGGACUAUGGAGAACGGAAGAGCCCACACCCCAAGAAAGAGAUGGACUGUUUCUCACCUGUGACCACACAUUCCAGCAAGAGAAGGCAGAGAGCCAGACCUGUAUGCAGCAUCUCCUAACUUUUAAAAUAUGGGCAAUUAAUUCCACUUGAAAGCAUCAUAAAAGCCUAACAAAAUGCCUCUGGAGUCUCUGGGCUGUCCCUCCUGUUUACUGUUCGCAGUUGCCUGUGGUCCUGGCA
ensembl:lncRNA